GAGGCCUCGAGCGUUAGGCGGAAUCACUGGGCUUAAAGCGUGUGUAGGCGGAUCGUUAAGUACCUUGUGAAAUCCCACGGCUUAACCGUGGAACUGCUUGGUAUACUGGCGAUCUUGCGCCACCUAGGGGCGAGCGGAACAGAUGGUGGAGCGGUGAAAUGCGUAGAUAUCAUCUGGAACGCCAAUGGUGAAAACAGCUCGCUGGGGGGUGUGCAGACGCUGAGACACGAAAGCCAGGGGAGCGAACGGGAUUAGAUACCCCGGUAGUCCUGGCCCUAAACGAUGUCCACUAGAUCGAAGUGCCUCUGACGGUAUUUCGGUCGAAGCAAAAGUGCUAAGUGGACCGCCUGGGAAGUACGGUCGCAAGGCUA
rnacentral:rRNA from 1 species